GAGAUCACAGAGGUGCUGCCUAGGGAGGGGUUAUUAAGACCUCAGCCUCUUCUUCUCUGUCUGCUUUCUGACCACCAUAAGUUUCCUGUGGCUGAUCAGUUUUUGGACGGCACGAAGACCAACUCAGAAAGACUCACUUGUGAAAGGAAGAGCAAAGAUGAACUUGGAGACAGAAAGAAAGGACAGCGCCAACACUUCACGGGGCCUCAGUCUGAGUUAAUUUAUUCAUCUGAGUUGAGUUAAGGCUCUCUCUAUGCAAGAUCUGGGUACCUGGAGCAAAAUAAAGAAGCAAAACU